GAUGAACGCUGGCGGCGUGCCUAAUACAUGCAAGUCGAGCGAACGGACGAGAAGCUUGCUUCUCUGAUGUUAGCGGCGGACGGGUGAGUAACACGUGGAUAACCUACCUAUAAGACUGGGAUAACUUCGGGAAACCGGAGCUAAUACCGGAUAAUAUUUUGAACCGCAUGGUUCAAAAGUGAAAGACGGUCUUGCUGUCACUUAUAGAUGGAUCCGCGCUGCAUUAGCUAGUUGGUAAGGUAACGGCUUACCAAGGCAACGAUGCAUAGCCGACCUGAGAGGCUGAUCGGCCACACUGGAGCUGAGCCACGGUCCAGACUCCUACGAGAGGCAGCAGUAGGGAAUCUGCCGCAGUGGGCGAAAGCCUGACGGAGCAACGCCGCGUGAGUGAUGAAGGUCUUCGGAUCGUAAAACUCUGUUAUUAGGGAAGAACAUAUGUGUAAGUAACUGUGCACAUCUUGACGGUACCUAAUCAGAAAGCCACGGCUAACUACGUG
rnacentral:rRNA from 1 species